AUACUUACCUGAACGGGGUCAACAGGCGAUCAAGAAGGCUCGUGGCCUAGAUCAAUGGCUCACAUUGCACUUGGUAAGCAUGUUGGUCUACCAUCUUCCCAAGUGGAAGAGUGGACGUCGUAAUUUGUGGUAGAGGGGGUACGCGUUCGCGCGGCCCCUGC
rnacentral:snRNA from 16 species